rnacentral:rRNA from 1 species
GAUGAACGCUGGCGGCGUGCCCAAUACAUGCAAGUCGAGCGAAUGGAUUAAGAGCUUGCUCUUAUGAAGUUAGCGGCGGACGGGUGAGUAACACGUGGGUAACCUGCCCAUAAGACUAGGAUAACUCCGGGAAACCGGGGCUAAUACCGGAUAACAUUUUGAACCGCAUGGUUCGAAAUUGAAAGGCGGCUUCGGCUGUCACUUAUGGAUGGACCCGCGUCGCAUUAGCUAGUUGGUGAGGUAACGGCUCACCAAGGCAACGAUGCGUAGCCGACCUGAGAGGGGGACCGGCCACACUGGGACUGAGACACGGCCCAGACUCCUACGGGAGGCAGCAGUAGGGAAUCUUCCGCAAUGGACGAAAGUCUGACGGAGCAACGCCGCGUGAGUGAUGAAGGCUUUCGGGUCGUAAAACUCUGUUGUUAGGGAAGAACAAGUGCUAGUUGAAUAAGCUGGCACCUUGACGGUACCUAACCAGAAAGCCACGGCUAACUACGUGCCAGCAGCCGCCGUAA